rnacentral:lncRNA from 10 species
UAUUUAAUUAAAAGUGCUGUCAAUUAGAUUUGUAUUAAAUUAUUUAUUAGGUUUACAUUAAGUUAUAUAUUAAGAAAUGUAUAUUUUAGUAUUAAAUCAUCCUUUCUAAAACUUGAUGUUUUUUCACUUGUCAGGUCUUAUUUUUAUGCCCUUCAAUAUGGUUUUCUUGUUAAAUUUAUUAAGUAUAAUUUUGAACAGGUAAUACAUUAAUAUGGUUCAAAGCUUACUAAAAAGUAUUUAAAAUAACAUAGCAGUGUUCCCCUUCCAUUGCUGUCCCUGAAUUGCCCAGUUCUGCUCCCUUCCAGAAAUAGGUUAUGUGUAGAAGAGCAAAUAUAUAUAUACCUAUUUGUUGCAAUUGUAAAUGGAAUGUUUUUCUUUUGAUACUGUUUCUAGUUGAUUAUUGCUAGAAUACAGAAAAAACAAUUGAUUUUUGUACAGUUAUCUUUUAUUCAGACACUUAUCCAUGCUAAUAGGCUUCUACUAUAGCCUUUUUUUUUUUUUUGGAGAUAGGCUGGAGUGCAGUGGCACGAUCUCAUCUCACAGCAACCUCCACCUCCUGAGCUCCAGUUAUAUUCCCACCUCAGCCUCCCAAGUAGCUGAGACCACAGGUGGAUGCCACCACAACCAGCUAAUUUUUUGCAGAGAUGGGGUUUCACCAUGUUGCUCAGGCUGGUCUUGAACUCCUGGGCUCAAGCAGUCCACCUGCCUUGACCCCUCAGUGUUCUGUUGAGAUUACAGGUGUGAGAUACUGCACCUGUUUUUUUUUUUUUUUUUUUUUUUAAGAGAUAGGGUGUCACUCUGCCACCCAGCCUGGAGUGCAGUGGCAUGAUCAUAGCUCACUGUAACCUCAUACUCCUAGACUCAAGGAAUCUUCCACCUCAGCCUCGAGUAGCUGGGUAUACAGGCAUGCACUACCAUGCCUGGCCUGAAAUAACUUUAUACUUAAAAGUUGCAAAAACAAUACAAAGAAUUCAUGUACAUCAUUCCCUCAGAUUUCCCAAAUGUUAACAUCUUUUUUUUGUUUGUUUUUGAGACAGUCUCACUCUGUCAUCCAGGCUGGAGUGCAGUGGUGUGAUGUAGGCUCACUACAACCUCUGCCUCCAGGUUCAAGGGAUUCCUGUGCCUCAGCCUCCCAAAUAGCUGGAAUUACCGGCAUGUGCCACUAUGUCCGGCUAAUUUUUGUACUUUAAUAAAGAGGGGUUUCACCAUGUUGUCCAGGCUGGUCUCGAACUCCAGACCUAGGUGAUCCACCUGCCUGGGCCUCCCAAAGUGUUGGAAUUACAGGUGUGAGCCACCAUGCCUUGCCAACACCUUACUUUUUGCUUUAUCAUUCCGUGUGUGUGUGUGUGUGUGUGUGUGUGUGUGUAGUUAUCUGAAAUACUGGCAAACCAAAUUAGAGGUUUACCUUUAACCUCUAAAUACUUACAUUUUCUGAAAACAAGGACGUUCUCUUCUGUAAUCAUAGUAUAAUUAUCAAAAUGAGAAAAUUUAACAACACUAGCACUCUCUAGACAUUUAAAUAACAUUUAAGUUCUUGAUGUAAUAAAUUAAUAAAUUUCCUGACACUGAGCCUUGCAUUGCUAAAAUAAACCUUAUGUAAUCAGAGUGUGCAAUUCAACUUGAUUUUAUUUGGGAUUUUUGCAUCUAUGGCCAUAGGUGAGAUUAGGCUAUAGCAUUCUUUCUGGCACUUUAUCAGGUUUGAGUACAAUAAUAGUUAAAACUCAUCUAUUUUGGGGGUUGAGUGAUGGCUAUAGGAGUGUGUUUACUUUGUAAUCAUUCACUGAGCUGCAUACUUGUGAUUUGUACAAUUUCCCAUAUAUUUUUCAAUUAAAAAGUUUAAUUAAAAACAAUUUUUUAUUUUUGGGACAUGGUCUCACUCUGUCUCAAAAAACAAAACAAAACAAAAGAAAUCUGGGUCUCACCUUGCUGCAUUGUCUCAGAGCUCAAAUCCUGGCCACAGCAACAUGGGACAAAUAAAAAUAUGCUGAGCAAACAAACAAUACUUUUCUGUUCCAGAGCCCACUGAGAAGAUCUGCACUUGCUGCAGGUCCCAUCCACUCACCCAAGUAUAAUAAUAAAGGAACAUCUGUCAUAUGCCUGCACUGUGCCAGGUUCUGUGAAUGGCUGAACAGCUUGGCAUCUGCCCUCUUAGAACUUACAUUCUAGUGAUGAAGACACAGAACAAGUAGGACAAGUGAGCUGAGCCUGGGAUGCUAUGGAAGUAAAAGAUAUGGGUCCAACACCACCUAGGAGUUCUGGCAGAGAAUCUCUGGAAGAAGUAAUUCUUUUUUUGUUUGUUUUUGUUGGAGACGGAGGCUGGCUCUGUCACCAGGCUGGAGUGCAGUGGCACAAUUUCGGCUCACUGCAACCUCCACCUCCCGGGUUCAAGCGAUUCUCCUGCCUCAGCCUCCCGAGUAGCUGAGACUACAGGCGCCCGCCACCACGCCUGGCUAAUUUUUGUAUUUUUAGUAGAGAUGGGGUUUCACCAUGUUGGUCAGGAUGGUCUCAAUCUCUUGAUCUCGUGAUCUGCCCCUACAUGGCCUCCAGAGUGUUGGGAUUACAGGCAUGAGCCACCACGCCCGGCCAGAAGUGAUUCUUAAUUAGGUUCCUUAGAAUCUAAGGUUCUACCCCUGUCUCCUUAUCCUAUUCUCAGGAAGGUGGCCAUUGGCUUUUCUUGUAUAAAAGUUAUCUGAUUUUAAGUUAUAUGCCUAGUAUUCCUGGCCACAGUUAACUGAACCAACGGACUGACAGCCGGGCAUAAGACCUCUAUCUAGUAGGAAUACUGCACACAGGCUGGUUACUAGCUGACUUAACUAGAGCCUCUAUGGGAAGUCUAAACAUCAAAUAGAAAGGAGCAGAAACAGAGAUAGCAGGAGAAAAAGCAGAAAAAGAAUAGUAAGGUUAUAAAAAUGGCAGUCGCAAACCCUAUGGUAUUGAAUUAAAACCGUAUCUAAACUCAUGAUUUUUAUUUAUUUUUAAAAAUAUGAAACGGAGUCUUGCUCUGUCACUCAGGCUGCAGUGCAGUGGUACAAUCACAGUUCACUACAGCCUCAACCUUCUGAACUCAAGCGAUCCUCCUGCCUCAGCCUCCUACGUAGCUAGGAUUACAGGAAUGCACCACCAUGCCUGGCUAAUUUUUUAUUUUUUAAACGUUUGGAGGAUGAGGUCUUGCUAUGAUGCGCAGGCUGGUCUUGAACUCCUGGGCUCAAGUGAUCCUCCCACUUUGGCCUCCCAAAGUCCUGGGAUACAGGCACGAGCCACCAUACCUGGCUCACGGUUUUUAAUAACAUACAGAUGGAUAGAAUAAUAAAUUCAGGUGCUUGUAUUUGCAUGUUUUAACAUAUAUACAUAUAUGUUUUCUAGCUCUGUCUGCUGAGCAGGCCUACAAGCAAUGACACUCCGCCAAUGAUACUCUAGCCAGGAGUAUAUAUUCUGUCCAGAUCUUGGUUUCCAGUGGCAUCAAGAAACAACUUGGUUUCUAAGUUCCUUUUUUCUGGAAUAAAAGGAACUGGGAGCUUCUUAGAGAAUGACUGAUGCCAGGGCUGAGAUAGGGAAAAUGUGAGGAAGCCUGAAACAUCUUGUGGUGCCAGAAAAUGCUUAAAAAGUGACAGGGGCAAUGUCGAAACAACACAGUGCCAACUUCAAUGAGUUCUCACUGGCCAAAUCUGAGCCAAUUUGAGCAACCAAAUAAACUGUUAGCAUUAGAUUGUAGCCUGUAGAAUAAAACAGAUAUCCACUCAUUCAUACUGAUAUAAAUUAUCAAAUAAAUAAAUGGGGAAAAGGGACAGCUCUUCCUUAUAGUAGAAUACCAAUUAAUAAAUACAGGUAAAAUAAUGAAACAAAGUCACCAUUAGGCAAGCAUAACAUUAAUACCUGUUAUAAGCAAGAAUCAUUGAUGAUGGAAAUGAAAAUCAGUAGGCAAAAUUUUAAGAAUAAGACAUUCACAUAGCUUCAAAGUGGAAGAUUCUUGUUAAUUUCAAAGGGAAAAUUCCUAAUUUUACAGUGGAGAAACCUGGCACACACCACCUUAGCCAUGUGAUCAAAGUUACCACCACCUAGUCUAGGUGUGGUGGCUCAUGCCUGUAAUCUCAGCACUUUGGGAGGCCGAGGUGGGUGGAUCACCUGAGGUCAGGAGUUCAAGACCAGCCUGGCCAACAUGGCGAAAACCUGUCUCUACUAAAAAUACAAAAAUUAGCUGGGUGUGGUGGUGGGCACCUGCAAUCCCAGCUACUCAGGAGGCUGAGGCAGGAGAAUCACUUUGAACCCAGGAGGCAGAGGUUGCAGUGAGCCGAGAUUGCGCCACUGCACUCCAUCCUGGGUGACAGAGCGGGACUCCGUCUCAAAAAAAAAAAAAAAACCAAAACAAAAAGUUACCACCACCCUCCGCUAGGAGGCACUAAGAAUAGCACAGUAUCACUUCUGUGGUUGUCUUGGCAAAAAUGCAGAUCCUCAAUCAUAUCAUGUAAAAACAUUAAACAAACUAAAACUGGGGAAUAUUCUAUAAAAUAACUGGCCUGGACUCUUCCAAAGUGUCAAGGUCAUGAAAGAUAAAGACCAAGAAACUGUCACAGGCUGACAGAGAUGAAGGAAACACCACAACAAAAUGCAAUAUGGGACCCUGGACCAGACAAAGGACAUCAUCGGGAAAACUGGCAAAAUUUGAAUGUCCGUAGAUUAGUUAGUAGUAGUUUAUCAAUGUUAACUUCCUGGUUUUCUUUUUUUGAGACGGAGUCUCACUCUGUCGCCCAGGCUGGAGUGCAGUGGCGUGAUUUCAGCUCACUGCAACCUCCGCCUCCUGGGCUCAAGUGAUUCUCCUGCCUCAGCCUCCCAAGUAGCUGGGAUUACAGGUGGGCACCAGCGGGCCUGGCUAAUUUUUGUAUUUUUAGUACAGACAGGGUUUCACCAUGUUGGCCAGGCUGGUCUCGAACUCCUGACCUCAGGUAAUCUGCCUGCCUCAGCCUCCCAAAGUGCUGGAAUUACAGGCAUGAGCCACCACACCCGGCAAUUUCCUGGUUUUGAUAAACUACAGUAUGGCUUUGUAGGAUGUAAUCAUUGGGAGAUGCUAGAUGAAAGAUACAUGGGAAUUUUCUACUAUUUCUGCAACUUUCUCUAAGUCUAAAAUUAUUUCAAAACAAAAAGUAAAAAACAAUGAAAAGCAGGCCGGGUCCAGUGGCUCAUGCCUGUAAUCCCAGCACUUUGGGAGGCCGAGGCAGGCAGAUCACAAGGUCAGGAGAUUGAGACCAUCCUGGCUAACAUGGUGAAACCCUGUCUCUACUAAAAAUACAAAAAGGUAGCCGGGCGUGGUGGUGGGCACCUGUAGUCCCAGCUACUCGGGAGGCUGAGGCAGGAGAAUGGCGUGAACCUGGGAGGCAGGGCUUGCAGUGAGCCGAGAUCGCGCCACUGCACUCCAGCUUGGGGGACAGAGUGAGACUCUGUCUCAAAAAAAAAAAAAAAAAAAAAAAGGCAGUCAGUGAGGUAGGGAGCAGCAGCCCCUGAGGGGUAGACAGUGAUCCAAGCAUCUGCUGGAGCUCACACCCUGGAUUCUGACUGCCUCAUACCCACCAUACUGUUAGGACAUGCUUCCAUUACCCAAGGGACUUUGAUUCCUGGCCCCAUUCUCUGCUUCCUGAAAGACUAGCUAACACUACGCGAGGGUUCCAUGAAGGGCCUGUGGGGGAAGGUGGGUGGACUGCUUAUCAGCAGUGGCUACUGUAGAUGGUGCCCAAGGAUGCACCAGGCCUUACUGUGCCUGGCUAAGGUGGGCUUGAAACAUUGGCUGGUCUGUGAAAUGCCCUUGGGGGACGGUGUCCAGACCCUCUGCUUUGUGACUAACAUGCAGACUGAAUAAACUGCAUGUUUAUUCCAGGCUCGUUUAGCUGGACGAGCAGUACAGACAGGGCUGAGGCUGACUCCAUGGCC